rnacentral:lncRNA from 1 species
CAUCGCAAAGCUAUCUGAACCUACCAAAUUCCUGUUUGGUCCAAUACCUAGUGUGUCAUUUUCUUGGAUGUUCCAUGAGAGCUUUAGAAACAGUUUCAAGCCUCCUGCUUUGUCCUGUGCUUAUGUGUGUAAUGACUUAUGAAUCCAUAAUGGCCAUCACAUGGACGUUAUGAUUGUUAUGAAAAUGGAAUCCCCAUUGCAGGUCAAAAAGAAAAAUGAUCAAGGAAUUAAUUGACUACGUUACAAAGCAGCAAAUCCCAUAAUUGUAACUAACAAGAUUUGGUACUGUCUUUGGAGAUUAAAAAAGGCUUUUUGACAAGUUUUGUGUCUUAGAGUAAAGAAAGGGUGUUAGAGCCAAUACUUUAUGGCACAGCUGAAGAUAUGGAGCGAGGAAAGUCUUGCUAUUGGACAUGUUCUUUUCCAAAUUUGUCGAUGUCUCCGGAAAGAUAUGGCCCAGCAGUCAGUAACGUGUUCUCUUUGGAGAAUCAAGAGGAAAUUGUGUAGAUUCUUUUUCACUUGCUAUGCACUCUUGCUUCUUUAACAAUAGCCGAACUAGUUAGAGCAUAUACUUUAUUAAAAUUUCAGCAUAAAGAGAAGUUUAGAGAGCAUGGAUAAAGCCCCAGAAUAAUUUCCAUUACAACAGUAGAGAUUAUGGAGUAGAUGUAAGUUCACUGCACUUGCUAGUCAGGCAUAUAAAACUGCUCACUGUGAUAAGCUGCUUUUGUCUCCACGUGGAGGAUCCCAUGGUGUAUGCUUGGAGCCAUAAUCUGUGAACGUGUUUGAGUUUUUUUAAUUAUUAUUAUUAUUAUUAUUUUGAGAAUAUUGAACGUGGCUAGGUUAUGUAUAGGGGAUCUUCCAUGAUUGUUGUGCGAUCUUUUAGAUGGAAGAUCGUGAUAAUUUAUUAAUCGGAACCCAGAUAAUGAAAAAGGUAUUCUGCUCUAAUGCUUGUGAUCAUGGCAAAAUUCGUUUUGCUAGGAGUGUUAGCAGACGUUGCCAAGUGCCUUUCCCAUGUUCCUGUAUGUCUGAAAAGGAGUAAAAAUACUUGUACAUUCUUUUAAAUGACAUAUAAUGCC